rnacentral:tRNA from 1 species
GGGCCCGUAGCUCAGUAUGGAUAGAGAGAAAUACACCAUAAGAGUGUAUUUCCUGGUUCGUCGGCCUCCGGAGCCGAAGGCCGUGGGUUCAAGUCCCACCGGGCCCG